rnacentral:rRNA from 1 species
UAACCAGGAUUUCCCUAGUAACGGCGAGCGAACCGGAAAGAGCCCAGCUUGAAAAUCGGGGCGCCUCGCGCCUCGAAUUGUAGUCUGGAGAAGCUACCUCUGCGUUGCCUCGGACCCAAGUUCUCUGGAAAGGGACGUCUCAGAGGGUGACAACCCCGUCGAGUUCGAAGCGUGCCGCUCCACGAUUGGCUGUCUGCGAGUCGGGCUGUUUGGGAAUGCAGCCCUAAGUGGGUGGUAAAUUCCAUCCAAGGCUAAAUAUGGGCAAGAGACCGAUAGCGAACAAGUACCGCGAGGGAAAGAUGAAAAGGACUUUGAAAAGAGAGUUAAAAAGUGCUUGAAAUUGCUGGGAGGGAAGCGAAUGGAAGCUGCGGGUGUGCCCCGGUUGGAUGCGGAACGGCCUUCAAAAUCUGGUCCGCCGCUCAACGCGGGGCGCUGGUCAGCGUGGGCCGUCGCGGCGGGACAAGAGCGGGGAUUCGCUUCCCGCCUAUGCCGUUGCGGCGGCCGAGGAACGAAGCGCGCGCCUCCCCUUUCUUAGGCCGGCGUGGGGCCCUGCCCCAACUGCGCGCUCGGGACGCUGGCGUAUUGAGCUCUUCAUCCGACCCGUCUUGAAACACGGACCAAGGAGUCUAACAUGUAUGCGAGCCGGUGGGCGGCAAACCCAUUGAGGCGCAAGUAAACUGACAGGUGGGACCCGAAAGGAGCACCAUCGACCGACCGUGAUCUUCUGUGAAAGGUUUGAGUGUGAGCAUACCUGUUGGGACCCGAAAGAUGGUGAACUAUGCCUGAGCAGGGCGAAGCCAGAGGAAACUCUGGUGGAGGCUCGUAGCGAUACUGACGUGCAAAUCGUUCGUCAGACUUGGGUAUAGGGGCGAAAGACUAAUCGAACCAUCUAGUAGCUGGUUCCCUCCGAAGUUUCCCUCAGGAUAGCUGGAGCUCGUGUAUUAAGUUUUAUCAGGUAAAGCGAAUGAUUAGAGGCAUCGGGGGUGUAACACCCUCGACCUAUUCUCAAACUUUAAAUAGGUAAGCCGCCGGGGUUGCUUGGUUGAACCCCGGCACAGAAUGA